AUGAGCUUCCUGUGUAACAUAAGAAACAUCAGAAAGGAGGAAAAACACCAGGAUAUUUCUAUCCAUCCAUCCGUGCUUAUCUGGCAGCCAACAUUAAGAUGUAUUGUUCCUGAAAGCAAAACCACAAAAGGGAAGAAGAGAUCCACAGGUGCAGUAUGUAUUGGAAGGAUGAUGAUAGAGAAGUGGGAUAGCAAUGGAUCAGCCAUUGGAUCAGCAUCUACCACAAGCGAAGAAACACGGGAAAAGAAGGAGAAGGAAAUGGAGAUGUACCAGAACCUGAUACAAGCUUUGACGCCCAGCACAGAAAACGCACAGUUACCCUGGCCUAAUUCACCGCAGGAGGCAGCCGCGGCGCAACCCGGGCCUGGAAGCGGGGUUGAGUUCGGUGACCGGGGAAAGGACUUGCUUGAGUUAGCCGAUACAGCCAACGCACACGGACACAAGGCGGCAGUUACGGUUACCUAAAUACAGCGUGGUGCGUUUUCUUUCCUUUCUUUAUCCUCUGAUUUCUUUAUCUUUCUUCAUCCUCUAAUUAAACAAAAAAUAAUGGGGCUGUGAUAUCGAAGUUUUGGAGGCAAAGCCUCCAAAAGCCUCCUUUGGUGGCAAAGCCUCCUUUCCCCCCCCUUUUGGAGGGAAAAGGUCAAGAAAUUUUAGUCAUUAAGUGUUUUAUAUGACAUU
rnacentral:lncRNA from 1 species